rnacentral:rRNA from 1 species
UGGGAACGCGAAGAACCUUACCAGGGCUUGACAUCCUACUAAUGAAGCAGAGAUGCAUUAAGUGCCCUUCGGGGAAAGUAGAGACAGGUGGUGCAUGGUUGUCGUCAGCUCGUGUCGUGAGAUGUUGGGUUAAGUCCCGCAACGAGCGCAACCCCUAUUGUUAGUUGCUACGCAAGGGCGACUCUAGCGAGACUGCCGUUGACAAAACGGAGGAAGGUGGGGACGACGUCAAAUCAUCAUGCCCCUUAUGUCCUGGGCCACACACGUAAUACAAUGGCGUUAAACAGAGGGAUGCUAAGCCGUGAGGUGGAGCGAACCCCUAAAAGGCGUCUCAGUUCGGAUUGCAGGCUGCAACUCGCCUGCAUGAAGUCGGAAUCGCUAGUAAUCGCGGAUCAGAAUGCCGCGGUGAAUACGUUCCCGGGUCUUGUACACACCG